rnacentral:rRNA from 1 species
UCGGGGUACACGAGCGGCGAACGGGUGAGUAACACGUGGGUGAUCUGCCUCGCACUCUGGGAUAAGCCUGGGAAACUGGGUCUAAUACCGGAUAUGACCUUACAUCGCAUGGUGUUUGGUGGAAAGAUUUAUCGGUGCGAGAUGGGCCCGCGGCCUAUCAGCUUGUUGGUGGGGUAAUGGCCUACCAAGGCGACGACGGGUAGCCGGCCUGAGAGGGCGACCGGCCACACUGGGACUGAGACACGGCCCAGACUCCUACGGGAGGCAGCAGUGGGGAAUAUUGCACAAUGGGCGAAAGCCUGAUGCAGCGACGCCGCGUGAGGGAUGACGGCCUUCGGGUUGUAAACCUCUUUCGACAGGGACGAAGCGCAAGUGACGGUACCUGUAGAAGAAGCACCGGCCAACUACGUGCCAGCAGCCGCGGUAAUACGUAGGGUGCGAGCGUUGUCCGGAAUUACUGGGCGUAAAGAGCUUGUAGGCGGCUUGUCGCGUCGAUCGUGAAAACUUGGGGCUCAACCCCAAGCUUGCGGUCGAUACGGGCAGGCUUGAGUACUUCAGGGGAGACUGGAAUUCCUGGUGUAGCGGUGAAAUGCGCAGAUAUCAGGAGGAACACCGGUGGCGAAGGCGGGUCUCUGGGAAGUAACUGACGCUGAGAAGCGAAAGCGUGGGUAGCGAACAGGAUUAGAUACCCUGGUAGUCCACGCCGUAAACGGUGGGUACUAGGUGUGGGUUUCCUUCCACGGGAUCCGUGCCGUAGCUAACGCAUUAAGUACCCCGCCUGGGGAGUACGGCCGCAAGGCUAAAACUCAAAGGAAUUGACGGGGGCCCGCACAAGCGGCGGAGCAUGUGGAUUAAUUCGAUGCAACGCGAAGAACCUUACCUGGGUUUGACAUACACCGGAAACCUGCAGAGAUGUAGGCCCCCUUGUGGUCGGUGUACAGGUGGUGCAUGGCUGUCGUCAGCUCGUGUCGUGAGAUGUUGGGUUAAGUCCCGCAACGAGCGCAACCCUUAUCUUAUGUUGCCAGCGCGUAAUGGCGGGGACUCGUGAGAGACUGCCGGGGUCAACUCGGAGGAAGGUGGGGACGACGUCAAGUCAUCAUGCCCCUUAUGUCCAGGGCUUCACACAUGCUACAAUGGCCGGUACAGAGGGCUGCGAUACCGUGAGGUGGAGCGAAUCCCUUAAAGCCGGUCUCAGUUCGGAUCGGGGUCUGCAACUCGACCCCGUGAAGUUGGAGUCGCUAGUAAUCGCAGAUCAGCAACGCUGCGGUGAAUACGUUCCCGGGCCUUGUACACACCGCCCGUCACGUCAUGAAAGUCGGUAACACCCGAAGCCGGUG